AUUGAACGCUGGCGGCAUGCUUUACACAUGCAAGUCGAACGGUAACAGGCCGCAAGGUGCUGACGAGUGGCGCACGGGUGAGUAAUGCAUCGGAACGUGCCCAGUCGUGGGGGAUAACUACUCGAAAGAGUAGCUAAUACCGCAUACGAUCUAUGGAUGAAAGCGGGGGACCGUAAGGCCUCGCGCGAUUGGAGCGGCCGAUGUCAGAUUAGGUAGUUGGUGGGGUAAAGGCUCACCAAGCCAACGAUCUGUAGCUGGUCUGAGAGGACGACCAGCCACACUGGGGCUGAGACACGGCCCAGACUCCUACGGGAGGCAGCAGUGGGGAAUUUUGGACAAUGGGCGCAAGCCUGAUCCAGCAAUGCCGCGUGCAGGAAGAAGGCCUUCGGGUUGUAAACUGCUUUUGUACGGAACGAAACGGCUCUGGUUAAUACCCGGGGCUAAUGACGGUACCGUAAGAAUAAGCACCGGCUAACUACGUG
rnacentral:rRNA from 1 species